UACGAGUGGUGCAAACGUUAUUCGGAAUAAUUGGGCGUAAAGGGUGCGCAGGCGGUAUGUUAAGUUUGUUGUUAAAUCUCUCGGCCUAACCGGGAACUUGCGAUAAAUACUGGCAUGCUAGAGAGUGGAAGAGAGAAGUGGAAUUCUUGGAGUAGCGGUAAAAUGCGUAGAUCUCAAGAGGAACACCAAUGGCGAAGGCAGCUUCUUGGUCCAUUUCUGACGCUCAUGCACGAAAGCGUGGGGAGCAAAC
rnacentral:rRNA from 1 species